UACGUAGGCAGCAAGCGUUGUUCGGAGUUACUGGGCGUAAAGGGUGUGUAGGCGGUCUUCUAAGUUUGGUGUGAAAUCUCCCGGCUCAACUGGGAGGGUGCGCCGAAAACUGGGAGGCUAGAGUACUGGAUGGGAGAGUGGAAUUCCUGGUGUAGCGGUGAAAUGCGUAGAUAUCAGGAGGAACACCUGUGGUGUAGACGGCUCUCUGGACAGUAACUGACGCUGAGACACGAAAGCAUGGGGAGCAAACAGG
rnacentral:rRNA from 1 species